rnacentral:tRNA from 1 species
GGAGAGAUGGCUCAGUGGUUAAGAGUCCUGACUGUUCUUCCAGAGGUCCUGAGUUCAAUUCCCAGCAACCACA